GAUGAGCCUUUAGCAUCCUACCUGGGACAGGUGGCCUGACCGCAGCUAUGGAAACAAGAGAAGGCAGAAGAUCGUGAUGUGCUACGUGUGCUGACGGGUGGAUCAUGCCAUCGGACUGCUGGGCCGACCAGCCACACACGAUACUGAGGACAGGUGACCAUUAUUGUCUUUGCUUCAUCAGGAAGACAUGCCCGUCACUGUUCUGAGGACAGGGAGGAGGACACUACAGCAUUUGGGACAUUACCCACUCACACUAUAGUAAGAAAACCACAUUGCCCUAUUGUACCAGAGACAGGCUGACCAACAACAUCGCCGUAACUAGAGCAUUUGCGCAGACUGGUGUCACUGAGGAAGGGCCAACAAUACUGUGCCACUGGGUCACAAGCAGGCGGGACGACGCCAGGUCAACGCUUGGACAGGAAGACUGACACCAGGAAGUGCACGGGAACCUCGAGGGAUACACAUGGUCCGGGCUAGCCCUGUUUGGGACCCGCAUUCCUGUGACAGCCCUGGCUUAUAUCCCCUUGGCUGCGUGCCAACUGUUGGAACCCUUUCUGGAUUGCCAGGUGAGCAGAAAGGAUUGAGUUUAAAUUGUCAGCUCCUCCUGACAGCUUCUCAGACUAAAGCCCCAGAUACCACAGAAUACUGAAUCAUUUGAGCCGCUGCUUGUUUAAGCGUUAUGCCCUAGGAGUGUGGCUGAUGAAGUGGAGACUCCCUCAGGAUCAAGUGUCCUCUGUACCCCUCUAACAAGAGGGGGGACACCCACUACUGCUUGGCCAGCCCACUCUCUCACUAGCAACCCCUUGCUCCAACACCUGCCUCAGCUGACGCCAUGAGAGAU
rnacentral:lncRNA from 1 species